GUGCCCAGUUUGCAAGAUCUUGAAGGAGAGCUCUAGGGAAUGCCAAUCCUAAAUCAGUGAAGUGGUGGUAACAUGGCAGGAUGUGUUUUCAUACUUGUUUCAUUUAUUUAUAUGAAGAUUUUUUUUUAAGGAAUGAUAAAUUUCAUUUUUGGCCUUCAUUCUAGGGCAUGUUUCUACAUCUUGGUUGUGUUUCUAGCUCCUAAGUUAUGGCCCAUUUGGGUUCUCAAAUGAAUAACUAAAGAGCUCAGUGAGGUCCUCUGGCUUGGCCUGAAUUCCAACACCCUGAAUCCCUAGCCUUGAAUAACUAUCUCCAUUCAGGUCUCAGCCAUGCAGAAGCUGUCUACAGAAAGUGCUUCCGAUCUGCAGUUUGGUGCUUACUAUCAAGAAGAUGUAAUGGAGAACGGCCUGGAAGUGGAUUCCUCAUUACCUGUGGCAUGGCAGAGGAGAAAUACUUGGUGGCAAACAGCAUUUGAAGUCCCGCACCGCAGACCCUUCCCUGGCUAUGUGCUGUUGUGUUUGGAACAAGCCUCUGUUUAGGCUGUCGGUAACAGGACUCCAGCUUCCUGCUUGGGAAAGAGCAGCAGCCUAUUAUAAUCAUACCCAGCAUGAUGGCACUGGCCAGAUGCGAACGCAGAACUCACAAAGGUAUUAGCUAAAAAUUAGACAGUGCUGCCAACGCCAGUCUCCAGCCUUCAUUUAAAAACUACAGCGACUCCAGCCAGUCAAGCGGCAGCGGCGGAGGGUUUAGCAGGAAGGUAGAGAGAUGACAGCAAGUUCCGUGUGAUUUAUUUCUGCUCUACAGCCUGCGUUCCCAGCUGAACUGGAGCACGGGAAACUUGCAUCUGUUACACGGGCAGCCUUGUAUCUCUUGGUUCCCACUGUGCAGCAGGCUGCAAUCCUCUAUGGAAGCUGGAUUUUGUAUUCGUGCCCCUGUGCAUGCAUACUCUCUCUCUCCCUCUCUCUCUCUCUCUCUCUCUCUUCCUCUCUAGGCCUCCUUAUUUAGGUGCCUGGGAAAACAAGUCUGGUUCGAAGAGAAGAGCCGGACAAGUCUAGAGGUUUACAACUUGGGGGUUGAGGGUCAGAAAAUGUCAUGCAGCUAAAUUGUCCUUAAUGCUACGUGUCAGCAAACACACACCUAUAAAACCAGAAAAGUCAAGCAUCCAACUUUUUAUGACUCAACUCUCGUGACUUGGCUUUUUUUUUUUUUUGCAGCAAGGAUCCCGGGACGAUGAUCUUCUGAGAACCGAAUGAACAAAGGAAAUAAAUUAACCAGAUUGCGUGGGAAGUGCCUGCUC
rnacentral:lncRNA from 1 species